rnacentral:rRNA from 1 species
GAGUUUGAUCGUGGCUCAGGAUGAACGCUGGCGGCGUGCUUAACACAUGCAAGUCGAACGAGGAAUUUUAAAUGAGACUUCGGUGGAUUUUAAAAUUCUUAGUGGCGGACGGGUGAGUAACGCGUGGGCAACCUGCCCUGUACAGGGGGGACAACAGCUGGAAACGGCUGCUAAUACCGCAUAAGACCACGGAGCCGCAUGGCGUCAGUGGGAAAAACGUAACCGGU